rnacentral:rRNA from 1 species
UACGGGGGGGGCAAGCGUUGUUCGGAAUUACUGGGCGUAAAGGGCUCGUAGGCGGCCCACUAAGUCCGACGUGAAAUCCCCAGGCUUAACUUGGGAACUGCGUCGGAUACUGGUGGGCUUGAAUCCGGGAGAGGGAUGCGGAAUUCCAGGUGUAGCGGCGAAAUGCGUAGAUAUCUGGAGGAACACCGAUGGCGAAGGCAGGUCUCUGGGCUGACACUGACGCUCAUGCACGAAAGCGUGGGGAGCAAACAGG